AUUGAACGCUGGCGGCAUGCCUUACACAUGCAAGUCGAACGGCAGCACGGGAGCAACCCUGGUGGCGAGUGGCGAACGGGUGAGUAAUAUAUCGGAACGUGCCCGGUCGUGGGGGAUAACGUAGCGAAAGCUACGCUAAUACCGCAUACGAUCUACGGAUGAAAGCGGGGGAUCGCAAGACCUCGCGCGAUUGGAGCGGCCGAUAUCAGAUUAGGUAGUUGGUGAGGUAAAGGCUCACCAAGCCGACGAUCUGUAGCUGGUCUGAGAGGACGACCAGCCACACUGGGACUGAGACACGGCCCAGACUCCUACGGGAGGCAGCAGUGGGGGAAUUUUGGACAAUGGGCGCAAGCCUGAUCCAGCAAUGCCGCGUGCAGGAUGAAGGCCU
rnacentral:rRNA from 1 species